rnacentral:rRNA from 1 species
UUGACCUCGGAUCAGGUAGGAUCCCGUGUG